rnacentral:sRNA from 1 species
AUCCCACCUUGGUAAUUCCCAUUUGAAAUCUGCAUAAUUUCCCAUUUGACCAUCCCCUAACCACCCACACAGACCUCGAGAGUUCGCAUUUGAGAAUCCCUAACUGACCCUUGCUCUUCUCCCAGGGGCCCUCUGGCCUCCCAGGGCUGAAGGGAGACCCUGGCCCCAAGGGGGAAAAGGGCCACAUUGGAUUGAUCGGUCUCAUUGGCCCCCCGGGAGAAGCUGGUGAGAAAGGAGAUCAGGGGUUGCCAGGCGUGCAGGGACCCCCUGGUCCCAAGGGAGACCCUGGUCCCCCUGGUCCCAUUGGCUCUCUGGGCCACCCUGGGCCCCCAGGUGUGGCGGUGAGUAUGCAGGGAAUCUUUUGUGGGAUGAGGUCACUGCGGUGGUCCAGGCCAGGACCUCAGCUCUCCCUGUCUGUACCCUACAGGGCCCUCUAGGACAGAAAGGCUCAAAGGGGUCUCCGGUGAGUACACCCUGCUUCCGUGGGCUUACACAUCCCAGCUCCCCACCCCCUUCACUGCACCAGAACCCUCCACGCCUCUGCCUUCAUUUAUUUAUUUAUUCAUGCAAUCGUGCGUUCGACAAAUAUUUAUUCAACACCUACGGUUGUAUUUCAUCAGAUCCAAAAUGCCAUCAAUUAUAAGAUGUACCAUUAUUUUACAAACUGCUAGGAAAGAAAACAGUUCUGCCAAGUAAACUAUGACUUGCCAAAGAUGUUAAGAAGCUGAUUUCAGAGACAUUAAAACAUGAAAAGAAAAUUUGUGUCUGAUGCCUAAUGCUGAAAACUGCAUGUC